GUGGGGAAUCUUCCGCAAUGGACGAAAGUCUGACGGAGCAACGCCGCGUGAGUGAUGAAGGUUUUCGGACUGUAAAGCUCUGUUGUUUGGGACGAAAGUGCCUGUUGCGAACAGUUACGGGUAUUGACGGUACUAAACGAGGAAGCCACGGCUAACUACGUGCCAGCAGCCGCGGUAAUACGUAGGUGGCAAGCGUUGUCCGGAAUUAUUGGGUGUAAAGAGCAUGUAGGCGGGAAUCUAAGUCUGUUGUUAAAAUGCGGGGCUCAACCCCGUAUUGCGAUGGAAACUGGGUUUCUUGAGUGCAGGAGAGGAAAGGGGAAUUCCCAGUGUAGCGGUGAAAUGCGUAGAUAUUGGGAGGAACACCAGUGGCGAAGGCGCCUUUCUGGACUGUGUCUGACGCUGAGAUGCGAAAGCCAGGGUAGCGAACGGGAUUAGAUACCCGGGUAGUCC
rnacentral:rRNA from 1 species